rnacentral:rRNA from 1 species
UUCAUGGAGAGUUUGAUCCUGGCUCAGGACGAACGCUGGCGGCGUGCUUAAUACAUGCAAGUCGAGCGAGGUUACUGUUUCGGAUCCCUUCGGGGUGAAGAAGCUUUAACCUAGCGGCGGACGGGUGAGUAACGCGUGGGUAACCUACCCCAAAGUCCGGGAUAACAGCGGGAAACCGCUGCUAAUACCGGAUGCCUUUACCUUGGGGCAUCUUGAGGUAAAGAAAGGCAACGCUUUGGGAUGGGCCCGC